rnacentral:rRNA from 1 species
CCUACGGGAGGCAGCAGUGGGGAAUAUUGGUCAAUGGGCGCGAGCCUGAACCAGCCAAGUAGCGUGAAGGAUGACUCCCCUACGGGCUUUAAGCUUCUUUUAUAAAGAAAUAAAGUGAGGCACGUGUGCCUUUUUGUAUGUACUUUAUGAAUACGGCUCGGCUAACUCCGUGCCAGCAGCCGCGGUAAUACGGAGGAUCCGAGCGUUAUCCGGAUUUAUUGGGUUUAAAGGGAGCGUAGAUGGGUUGUUAAGUCAGUUGUGAAAGUUUGCGGCUCAACCGUAAAAUUGCAAUUGAUACUGGAAGGCUUGAGUACAGUUGAGGUAGGCGGAAUUCGUGGUGUAGCGGUGAAAUGCUUAGAUAUCACGAAGAACUCCGAUUGCGAAGGCAGCUUACUAAACUGCCACUGACAUUGAUGCUCGAAAGUGUGGGUAUCAAACAGGAUUAGAUACCCUUGUAGUC